rnacentral:lncRNA from 1 species
ACAUGUUGCUGAAUAGAAACAGCUUUGAGAAGCUGUUUGUGCGUUUACAAAAUUAAAUGUCUGUGUUCUACUUAACUUUGAUAGGUGCUGUUUUAAGUGUGCGACAACUUGCUGUGUGCCUUUUCUUCAGAUAACAUCUUAGAAGCUCAGCAGAAAAGAAUUGGGAAAAUAACUUCUCAGGAAGGAAAGGGGGAAGGACACAGAAACAGCUCAGCGCUAGCAGAAAGCGAAAGGCAGAUACCGAGUGAGGAGGAGCCCUGGCUUGAGCGCUCAGCCGGUUGGAUGCUGCACGUGGACGUUGGCAUCUUUGCCUGCCUUUGCCACAGAGUUUCUCCACAACGGAGGAGCGUAACCAUUUCCUCAUUGACCUAUGGGAUCAAAAUGGAAGUCAAACAAUGCAAGGCCUUAAUCAGUAUUGGUAUCAGUAACUGAAGACCUGCAACUACCAGAGCAGAAGAAAGGAGAGAGUAAGUUAAUCUGUGGUGGAGGCUAAAUUAGCACAGCUAUGUUCACAGAGCCAAGCAGCCUGAAAAUUCACAGCUGCCAGAAAACUUCCUGCUGUCAGAGAGAAAGGACAGCCAUUUGGACAAUCAGUUGCUGCUCUCAGUUUUGGGUGGUAGAAAAAAAUUCACAGGAGUUUCAGACCGUGGUCAGAACUGUUGGCACCUGAGCUGAGGUUCACCUUCAUUCAACGAGGGAAUAGAAAUUUGAGAGGAAAAAGGUAGGGCUUUUUGUUUGUUUUUCUGUAAUCUUGGAAAUAAUUUUGUCUUGGCCAUUUGUGUUCUUCUAGAGUGGACAUUGUACGUUGACCUCAUUGUACAAAGGACCUCAGUAAUGUGCUUUAUCUAUAUGAAUUUCAGUCAGCACAAUUCAAAAUCAAAAUGAUGUGCAGUUAUUAGUACUUUUUCCAGUG